GACGAACGCUGGCGGCGUGCCUAACACGUGCAAGUUGAGCGACGAACCAGGGCUUGCCCUGGGGCAAAGCAGCGAACGGGUGAGUAACACGUGGGUAACCUACCCCGAUAACCGGGACAACCCGAGGAAACUCGGGCUAAUACCGGAUGUGCUCACUGAACUUCGGUUCAGUGCGUAAAGGAAGCUUCGGCCUCCGUACCGGGAGGGGCCCGCGGCCCAUUAGUUUGUUGGUGAGGUAACGGCUCACCAAGACCGCGAUGGGUAGCUGGUCUGAGAGGACGAUCAGCCACACUGGGACUGAGACACGGCCCAGACUCCUACGGGAGGCAGCAGUGGGGAAUCUUGCGCAAUGCGCGAAAGCGUGACGCAGCAACGCCGCGUGGGGGAAGAAGGCCUUCGGGUUGUAAACCCCUUUCAGGAGGGACGAAGGUCCGGCGGUGAAUAGCCGUCCGGACUGACGGUACCUCCACAAGAAGCCCCGGCUAACUACGAGCCAGCAGCAGCCGCCG
rnacentral:rRNA from 1 species